rnacentral:rRNA from 1 species
UACCAGCACCCCGAGUGGUCGGGACGUUUUAUUGGGCCUAAAGCAUCCGUAGCCGGUUCUACAAGUCUUCCGUUAAAUCCACCUGCUUAACAGAUGGGCUGCGGAAGAUACUAUGGAGCUAGGAGGCGGGAGAGGCAAGCGGUACUCGAUGGGUAGGGGUAAAAUCCGUUGAUCCAUUGAAGACCACCAGUGGCGAAGGCGGCUUGCCAGAACGCGCUCGACGGUGAGGGAUGAAAGCUGGGGGGAGCAAACCAG